rnacentral:rRNA from 1 species
GCCAGACUCCUACGGGAGGCAGCAGUGGGGAAUAUUGCACAAUGGGGGAAACCCUGAUGCAGCGAUGCCGCGUGGAGGAAGAAGGUUUUCGGAUUGUAAACUCCUUUUAUCAGGGACGAUAAUGACGGUACCUGAAGAAAAAGCUCCGGCUAACUACGUGCCAGCAGCCGCGGUAAUACGUAGGGAGCGAGCGUUGUCCGGAAUUACUGGGUGUAAAGGGAGCGUAGGCGGGACGGCAAGUCAGAUGUGAAAACUGAGGGCUCAACCUUCAGACUGCAUUUGAAACUGCUGUUCUUGAGUGAAGUAGAGGUAAGCGGAAUUCCUAGUGUAGCGGUGAAAUGCGUAGAUAUCACGCAGAACUCCGAUUGCGAAGGCAGCAUACCGGCGCUCAACUGACGCUCAUGCACGAAAGUGUGGGUAUCGAACAGGAUUAGAUACCCGAGUAU